ensembl:snoRNA SNORA74 Small nucleolar RNA SNORA74
CCUAGCUGCAGGCAACUACCUAGGUUGCUUUGUACCUAGGCAAGUGCUACACUGCUGGGAGAAAAGCAGUCGAUAGCUGGCGGGCAUU